rnacentral:rRNA from 1 species
CCUACGGGUGGCAGCAGUGAGGAAUAUUGGUCAAUGGGCGCAAGCCUGAACCAGCCAAGUCGCGUGAGGGAAGACGGUCCUAUGGAUUGUAAACCUCUUUUGUCGGGGAGCAAAGCGCGGUACGAGUGCCGUGAAGGAGAGUACCUGACGACAAAGCAUCGGCUAACUCCGUGCCAGCAGCCGCGGUAAUACGGAGGAUGCGAGCGUUCUCCGGAUUUAUUGGGUUUAAAGGGUGCGUAGGCGGAUUUGUAAGUCAGCGGUAAAAAUGCGGGGCUAAACGCCGUAUCGCCGUUGAAACUGGGGGUCUUGAGUGAGCGAGAAGUAUGCGGAAUGUAUGGUGUAGCGGUGAAAUGCUUAGAGAUCAUGCAGAAUACCGAUUGCGAAGGCAGCUUACCGAGCUACUUCUGACGUUGAGGCACGAAAGCGUGGGGAGCAAACAGGAUUAGAUACCCCGGUAGUC